rnacentral:rRNA from 1 species
UACGUAGGUGGCAAGCGUUGUUCGGAAUUAUUGGGCGUAAAGGGCGCGUAGGCGGUUUGUUAAGUCGGUCGUGAAAGCCCGGGGCUCAACCCCGGAGGGUCGACCGAUACUGGCAGACUAGAGUACAGAAGAGGUAACUGGAAUUCCCGGUGUAGCGGUGAAAUGCGCAGAUAUCAGGAAGAACACCCGUGGCUAAGGCGGCUCUCUAGUACGGUACUGACGCUGAGACGCGAAAGCGUGGGGAGCGAACAGG